UACGUAGGGGGCUAGCGUUGUCCGGAAUCAUUGGGCGUAAAGCGCGUGUAGGCGGUCCGGUAAGUCUGCUGUGAAAGUCGGGGGCUCAACCCUCGAAUGCCGGUGGAUACUGUCGGGCUAGAGUGCGGAAGAGGCGAGUGGAAUUCCUGGUGUAGCGGUGAAAUGCGCAGAUAUCAGGAGGAACACCGGUGGCGAAGGCGGGUCUCUGGGCAGUAACUGACGCUGAGGAGCGAAAGCGUGGGGAGCGAACAGG
rnacentral:rRNA from 1 species